rnacentral:lncRNA from 1 species
UUUGAUUCUCUCAUAAGCCAUGAUGCUAAAUGUAAAGUGGUUAUUAAAUUGUUGAUAUUCCGUGAUCUAUUAUAGUCUGCACUGAGCGAAUUGUCACUGGUGUGUUAUGUAGAACAUGCUUAAUAGGAUCAAAGAAAUCAUGAUAUAUAUCUUAACUCAGACAUCCAUUUCAAUUGCAUAUCCCAUUUUGCAUAGCAGGGUUAUGAAAAUCCACAAGAAGCGACUGGGGUUAUCAUAUGUGCCAAUUUCCAUUUAGCUAAUAUGCCUAAUUUUAGGAUGACUGACCCUUUUAGUCUAGUUCAUAUAAUUUUUCUCUCAGGAGCUAGAGGAAAUGCAUAUCAGGUACAUCAAUUAUUAGGUAUGCCCACUUUUUGACUUACUGAUAAUAAUGUUAUUAUUUUGUGCUGCUUAACUAACUUGCAGUGAUUUGGCAGAUGUUCAAGAUUCCUUUUUUCCCCAUUGCCUCAAAAUUUGGUAUGAGUUCAAUUAAGUUCCUGCAAUAUACUGCUGCUUCAUUUAGUCAUUUCUUUUUUCCCAGAAAGAUUUGAAAAUACUUUGUUUUAUUCAUUAUGUUCAUUGACCAAGUUUACUUACUUCCGUGGUCUGAUUUUUUUCUUGCUCUAGAUGGUCAAUCUUUUUUUUGUUUUUUAAACAAAAGUAAAUUUAGUUCAUGCACUAGGUAGUCAAUGUUAAAGCAUGAAUGGUUUAAUGUGCAUUUCUUCAUGAUAUUCGGUGUAUUUAUCACUUGGUUAUAUUAUUUUCUGGCUUAUUUGGGUUUCAUUGAGGCGUAGUUGCUGCUAUAUUCAAAGUGGCCGAUUUUGUCAGAGAAUCAGACAGUUGAGCUGGUCUAAAAGAUGAGUUCAAAUCCUUAACAUAAAAAAAGAAAAGAAAGAAAUGAGCUAGUUCCCAUCCUGAGCUGGAAGAUGAAGUGACCCCAUUCAAAGAAAUGUGGUAGUGGUGGACAGGUGGAGUGCCUAGAAUGGAAGUUAGAACAACAUACAGGUAAAUUUUGUUCUGAAGAUGGAGUAAAAGUUGGAAAUAGAGCAGAAAAUUGCUGAUGAUUUUUCUUCCCAAGACAAACUUUACCUACCGGAAAUUAGAAAAAGGUCAGAAGAAAGUUGAUCUUUUUCCUUAUCUCCCUACCUAUAUGUCUUUUAGCUCCGAGUACUUGAAUUUUUCUUUUAAGAAAAUGUCUCUUUUUCGACCACUUGAAUUUUCUUUUAAGAACUGAACACAUGCAUAUCUUCUCUGGAAGCUGAUAUUUUUGUUUUUUAUGUAUCUGGCUGUAUUGUAAGUUUCUCUUCCUUAUUGAUUGGCUCUGUCUUUAAGAUUAUGCGGUUCAUGUGAUAUCUCUAUGUACUUGUCCUAAUACAACUUGAACUUAUUCUUGAUAGAAGUAUUGCAAAAUUAUAGGAUCUGGAUAUUUGAAGUUUUACCAAUCUGCCUGCUAAUGAUCAUCCACUAUUGCUGUUGUGUCUUCUGUGCAUUUCCAAGUUAAAGGAUUUGUUGUCAAAUUCCAUUUCGUUCUGCAAUAAUUGAUUCAAUUACUAAUCAUAGUCUUCAAUAUCUUAUGCUCCUUUUUGUAAGAGAUUUGCAGUCACCCAGUAAUUCUAGAAGAAAUUUGAUUUGGGGUAGCAUAGCUAGUGGUAGAGCUAUUCCAGCAUGCCAGGUCUUUGGUUGAUCAUGGAAAAUUUCCAUUUGAGAGCUAUUCCAGCACGCCAAUAGGUCUUUUGUUGAUCACGCCAAUAAGAAUAAUUGCCAGAGUUGGUCAGUGACUCCACAGUGCAAUAAAAGGUGACUGUUUUUCUCUGGUCCUUCCAACACAAAUAACAUCUUGAACCUAGCUUAAUCCUCCUCCUCUUCAAAUUAUCUUGGGUCAGACAGGCUUCUUUGACAACAAGCCAAACAAAACAAGCCACUGUUUAAGGAAUUUCCAGUCUUCAUGUGUUCCAAAAUCCAAGAAUUAACUUGUUCUCCUAAUACAAGUGAGUGCAUAAUAGGUAGAUUUAAUUGUAUAGUUGCCUUUGCUAUGCCCUCUGCCAUGACAAUAUGUCCUCAUGUUUAUAAAUGCAUUUUAAUUGAUCCAUUACUCUUACAAAAUUUAGCUACUCUGUUGAUUUCUCAAUCAAUUGGUAGUGUUCUAAAGCUCAGGUUUAAUCACUGUUGACCUCAUAGUUUGCUAACAGCUGUCCCCUUGUUACUGACAGGUUGAAGAUGUAUGGGGAUAAUGCUUUAGAGACCCUUCCCAUUCCUCACUUUAAGACUGGUUGGCACUGAAGGAGGGCUAAAAAGCUCUGUUUGACCUCUAUAUACUAAACCCAGAUAGUGUAGUUACCCCUAUUUUAAAAAGAGUCAACCCGGUGCAAUAAGCUGGGCUAUACGCAGGGUCUGGGGAAGGGCAGGACCAUAAGGGUCUAUUGUACGCAGCCUUACCCUGUAUUUCUGCAAGAGGUUGUUUCCACAGCUCGAACCCGUGACCUCCUGGUCACAUGACAACAACUUUAUAGGCUCCCCUUCUAAUCUGAGACAAAACUUCAGGUGAGUGGGUGUUCUCCAGUAUAGAUUACAUCCCCUUUCUGCACCUUCCUGUCCCAUAAUAUAAAAAUUCCCUGAUCUACCAUUUGCCUCUAAAAAUCUGGGCACUGUCUCAGAGGGAGGCUCGGUGAAAUAGACAUGUCUGUGAAGAUGCAGGCUACCUGCACCUGCACUGAAAGACCCUAUGAAGCUUCACUGUUCCCUGGGAUUGGCUUUGGGGAUUUCCUGCACAGCUUAGGUGGAAGGUGAACAAGGCAUCCUUCCGGGGUGGGGAUGGGGGGGAGCCAUCAGUGAGAUACCACUCUGGAAGGGCUAGAAUUCUAACCUUGUGUCAGGACCUACAGACCAAGGGACAGUCUCAGGUAGACAGUUUCUAUGGGGCUUAGUCCUCCCAAAAGGUAACGGAGGCUUGCAAAGGUUUCCUCGGGCCGUCCAAUCUUUUGAUUAAGGGGGAUGAGCCAUCUGCUAAGGAUUACCUUAAGGCUAGUAAUAAACUCACUUCCGAUGAGCAGGAAUGUGUUUGCCCACAUAUCUUUAACAAAAGGUUCGAUAUUUCCUUCUAGCUUUGUUUCCUAAAAGCAGUAGAUGUUUGCUUUCCAUUGUGAGCUAAACUUUUCUUCACCCUUCUUUUUUGUCCUGCUAUUUGGCCCCUUUCCGUUCCAUGUGAUGAUGUUCAGCUUCAUGGAUAAUCAGUGUAUGAGAAUUUCUCCUGCUCCAUGUCCCGCUGUCCUUGUUAUUAACAUUAAAUUUCAGGAUUUUAGUUCCUUCAUACUUCUGCAUUUUGGGGUCAUACAACUGACAAUGCAUACUUUGGCUUGUUUAUCUUGCUUUCUUUUGUACAGUUUCAUGAAGAGAGAUAGAUCUUACAUCUCACAGUCUCGGAAAUCCAACACAUAAUGCUUGCACAUUUCCAGUACAUUUUUAUGUACCCACAAUGAUGCUUCUAUAUCAGAAUUCUGAAUAUGAGUCAGCAAUGGGUCUACAUGCCAGAGGUCAUCCUCUUCAUGAUCAACUAUCUGUUUCUCCAAUUCAUUUGAGUUAUGGAGAGGAAUAAUAUCAUCACUGUUGAUAACAGUCAUCUCAACUUCCUCAUCUUCUUGUAUGACCAAGACCACCUGUAGUUGAUUAGGGCUGCUGUGGAGAGCACGCUAAUCAGUGACCUCAGACAUAUUUAUAGUGUGUAGAAGUUGUUGAUGCUCUGACAGAAUGACGGCUUCAAUUUCUAUCAUUACUGGAUUGUGUCGGUCUACAAAUUCAACCAAAACAUGCCUUAUUUGUUCAUUCCAAGCAGCUGGGAAAUCCAGGCCCAUAUUAUUUUUACGUGGAUGUGAUCAGUUAUGUAGCAUUGUGUAGGUGCAGAUGCAGAAUUACUCUUCUAUCAGAUUACCCUGGCUAAUUUCCAGGCUGAGUGAAGUUAGAUCAGAUUUAUGUGUGUUUUACUAACUGGGAAUCCCUAAAAUCUUAGCUAGUAACUGUGGACACCUACAAUAUUAUGCGUUACGUGAGAUUCAACUUCCAAAUAGGAUUCGACCUCUAUAUUCAGUUAUUUAACAUGUACAGCAAUUGCCAUUUGGUAUUUCUCUUCAGUUCUGAUUCCAUGUAAUAGUAGAUUACAACUGUCAUUGAUGAACCAGUUCUUGCUUCGCAGUGGGUUCAUGUGAACCCAGUAGCUUUUGCUCAGACCUGUAUAUUUAUUAAGCAAUCCACUAUAUAUAUUUGACCAUGAACACAUUUAUUAUUGUAUACUAACUUGAGGUAUAUGUAUGAACCCGUAGAACCUCAAAUCCUGGAUCACUCUGCUUGCUCGGAGGAGAA